GAGCAUGUCUGCCAGUGCUCUCUCAUAUCUACUCGGUGACCCGCUUCACUACGCUUUGGCAUUCAAUUCGUCACGCUGUCAUGUUUGCUCGAAGCCUUAAGAAGAGAAACUCCAGCCGGUUGCCCACUGUGCUUGAUGAUCUAGAAAGAGGACAACCUUGUACCAUGUGUGGGGAGCAGUGCCCUGGCUUCGUUCUGCAUAAAUGGAGGUGAAAAACCAUGUAAUUUUACUUGCUUGCUCGUGUUACCAUGACAGAAGAUCCAAACCAACAGCAAAGGUCGAGCCGAACAUGAAUUAUGCUGACAGCCUCCUGACAGACCUGCCAUGAGUGCUGCUGAUUGCUGCACCUAUUCAUCACAAUCAGCUUCCCCUUGAUGACUUGAUUUGCUUUAUUCAGUCAGAUCUCUCUGCUCUCUUCAAGCACAUGAUUUGAGUCAUGUCUGACUGUCAUGAAGAGUUUGUAUAGCCUAUCUGCAGGAGACCAAGCUAACUUUUUGUUGGCUGUUAUCUGUGUUCAGAUUUGCAUAGAAAUAAAAAUGAAUUUGAAAACCAG